AACGAACGCUGGCGGCAGGCUUAACACAUGCAAGUCGAGCGCCCCGCCAGGGGAGCGGCAGACGGGUGAGUAACGCGUGGGAACCUACCCAUCACUACGGAACAACUCCGGUAAACUGGAGCUAAUACCGUAUACGUCCUUCUGGCGAAAGAUUUAUCGGUGAGGGAUGAGCCCGCGUUGGAUUAGCGAGUUGGUUGGGGAAUGGCCCACCAAGGCGACGACCCAUAGCUGGUCUGAGAGGAUGAACAGCCACACUGGGACUGAGACACGGCCCAGACUCCUACGGGAGGCAGCAAUGGGGAAUAUUGGACAAUGGGCGCAAGCCUGAUCCAGCCAUGCCGCGUGAGUGAUGAAGGCCCUAGGGUUGUAAAGCUCUUUCACCGGUGAAGAUAAUGACGGUAACCGGAGAAGAAGCCCCGGCUAACUUCGUGCCAGCCGCCGCCGUAA
rnacentral:rRNA from 1 species